GCUCCAAGUCCUUUGGCCGCUGCAGACGGUCGUUCACGUCGGGCAUUGCGCCUCGCUUGGCUUGCUUAACAGUAGAUCAGUGACUGGUAGGAGACAACUGGCAUUCACCUCGGUCUCCCGCAGGCAGGGCUUGACAGUUGUAAAGAUGACUUGGGCAUGUUGCACGUAAAAAUGUUAGCUAACAAUUUAUCCCUGAUUUUCUUCAGCCUAAUGCUUGAGAAACGCAGAACUCCUGAGGGUAUAGGUGUUUGUGGGUGCGUAGGCUUAGGCUCAAAGAUCUUUGCACUAUUUCCUGCUUGUUCAAGUUUCAGACUUUCACUGAUGCUCUGCUCUACAGUUAGGGCUUGCCCUACUCUAUUCAGGGCUGACAAUGUAAGUUUGAGUAAUCCUAAAAUGAUGCACAAUACGAAAAAUAUUUCAACAGGCUUUAAGAUAUAUAUGUAUAAAAUGAAUUGUGAAUCAACGUGUUAAUUAAAUGCCCCUAACAGGAUGGAUUUCGGCUGGCUUAGGGAGAUUUCUCUGAACAGGGGAAAGAAAACCAUUGUUUUCGAUGACCGAAUCUCAGCAGCUUGCCUGAUCUUGUAAAAGACAUUCCUUAAACCUAUAGAUGCAGCAGCCUGCAUGCUUUUAAAAGGGAUUCUCACACUCCUAAAUUCCUCCUGCACUGACUAAGCAGCAUCUUUCAAAUAUUCUUUUAGUCCAAGUAUGAACAUUGCUCUCAAAGAGCUACCGUCUUCUGAAACCUUUCCCAGUCUUGCACCAUCACCUCUGUAGAAAGCCCCUGUGUACACGCCGAAGGAACAUGAGCGCAGACAAUGCAUGCUCGGACAUUUCCUUAAUGAAGUCAUAGUUCCCACUAACUCCCUCAAGAUAUGAAGUGCCUCAAGCCAUGUGCUGGCACAGCCUGACUCAUCAUGUGAUACACUUCAUUGUAAGUCCAGAUGAAUUUAAACAAGUUUUGAAGACAAUCCAAGUAUUUUCAGGAACAGGAUGUCUGACCUCUAGUCACACUUGCCCCAUAGCAAUACAGAAAUUCUCCUCACUGACCGCCUCCUGCUGCAGGACUGUGCCCUCUGCAAGCCCCGAGUUCAGAAGGAAGCAGCACUACAGUGAUAAAAAACACAGUUAACAGGAAAAUUGGCUCUCCUACAGCUUGCUUCCAGGAACACUAUCAGAGAUUGCAAGGCAGGUCUAGAGCAAAGGCUACAAAAAAAAGAUAACAAAUAUAUUUUUCUUCUGGGCUACAAGAGCCUACCAACACCACUGAAGGCAUUUCACCGUGGAAAUUCCCACAGGUGUCAGAAAUAGAAACACAAGCUAGAGAGAAGUCAGCAAGCAAUACAAAAGUCUCCAAAGUGCCCAGGGCAUCACAUCCCGACUCCAGUGAAAGAAGAGAGCUCCACACCCACCGCCGACCGGGAAAACCCUCCCACUGAAAACCGCAGACCUGCGAAACGUAAUGCUCGAACGCACGAAGAUCACCUCUGCACGGCCUCGCUAGCAGUGAGGAUCAGUUCCUCCUCAGCUAGGCGCUUGGACCCGAGCGCCACCGGGAGCUGGGAUCGCAGGUAGCCACAGGCAGAGGUUAUCGUCAGCUCCGCUGGGCUGAGAGCUGCUGUAUCUACAAGGCCUGAUGAUCUAGUUAAGUGAAACGAAAUCCUACUUUUGAGACACGAGUCCUGAAAGAAUGAAGUGCCUUUCUCCUAAAUACAACAAGUUAUGUCUCCAUCAUCCUGAUCCUGAAAGAACCUGAAAAAUUUAACUAGACUAAACCAAGAAGGACCCACGUGGUUGGAGAGCUCUAACUCCCCCAUCUGAACUGAAUAUUCUUCUCAUCACCUGCAACAGAUUGGCAGCCCCCAUGACCCCAACAUAUUCUUUCCCAUUGUUACUUCUUCCUGCUUCGCAUCUCCGUUUAUGCUUUUAACUACAACGGCACUGCCAGCCAAGCUGCAACUUUCACAGUGCCGUGGGAAGCCUAUGUUUUGAAAGGAAGGUCCAAAAUGACCCAAGCAGCCUGAUGGAGAGACAGCUCUGGCAGGUCCUGGAGGAGAAGAAAAAGAGCUUCUGGAGACCAAAUCACGCAUCACAAGAGCAAGUGAUUGAAAUGAACAAUGUGUCAUCAGCUUAUAAAUUCAUACCUGCUUAUACAGAAUGCCAAAUUCUUCUUAAGUGUAAAUGUUAAUUUGUUAAGGGAUCAGUAUUUCUGACUCAUGUAAACUGUGAAAUAAAUAAAACACUACAUCAUUGGAGCGCAAAAAUAUCAGUAGACACAUUACAAAAAACUAAACUCUGAGACGUUGGAGAGUUGGGAAAUUUAACGUGGCUCUAUGCAAGUAGGAGGGAAAGGCAGAUGCAAAAAGCGGUGGACUGCUGCAGUCACAGAUGGGCCUCUGCCAGUGGGAGCUUUCAUAGCUGCGUGCUGGAGCGGUGGCGACAACAUGCUGUGCUACGGGUGCGUUCCUCGUUAAGGACUCAGGUAUUCCUUUUCCAAGGGCGCUAGGAGUAGAGGUGAUUCUUUAUCAUGGGAAACGCAACCGAACUGGAUAGUGCAAGUAAAGGCCCUACAGGAUCAGCUAACGGAAUAUAGGCACAACACAUGGUUUUACUGGAUCUGGGUAAAUCAUGUAUCACUUCUCCAACUUGAGAAUAUUGAUCUAAAGAUCACACUAUCUGUGUGCGUGUGCGCACAUACAAUACAUAUAUGUACACUUUUAUCAAGUCUUUCUGACACUGAAAUAAUUAUAAUAAAGCCACAUUUUAAUACUCUAAAGAUAGAUGUUUAUUGAGUUGCUGAAAAAUACAAAUAUUCAAAUGUGUCACAUUUAAAUAUUAGCUAAAAAACUACAGAAGUUCCACAUACAGUCUAGUUGUUCCACUUCCGCACUAUAAUGAAAACUAUGUUAAGAUGAUACAAAGUUAAAGAUUUAACAAUCACCUGUGAAUUCCAAAAAAGUUAACAUGUUCUAAUUCUUCUUAUACUGCCCUGACUAUUAGCUAUAAGCUAUUGUGCAGAGUUACACGUUAUGCAGUCCUGAAGGCAGUGCUACGACUGCUAGAACUAGAUAUUAAUAUUAUAAUCUACUCUUUGGCUAUAUAAUUAGGACAUUAUUAGUAUGAGAUUUCCAUUACUAGCAUGAGGCCUAACUAAUUAAAUAGAAAUAAUUAUGUACACAUUUUGUAAAUAGGUUUACUGUGCUCAAGUCAUGGCAAUAUUAAGCAUCUUAUAAGCUUUUGAAAAUAUUCCUUGAGGGGUUCUAACAGCCAUUUGGGUGAUACUUUUAGCCAGUUUAUUCAGCCAGAGUAUUUGAUUAAUAUAAGUUUAAAUAUAGUAUCACAAAUAUGAGGAUUAUGUGAAACGAUGGGGAAAGAGUUGAAAAAUACUUUGAUAUUUCAACCUUCAUACAAUUUUAACAAACUAAAGAGUAUCAGAACAGCAUAGCUACUCUGGGCCACUAUAGCCAUAUCCAUCACUGGUGUAGAUAUAUCUUAAUUGUCAAGGAUAAUUAAAAGGCUAAAGGCAUGGCAAUGCAUCUUAACUAAUGCAAAAGAGCAGGUGGAAAUACUGAGACAUACACUUGUUCUGCAAGCUGGACAGUGAAGAACGUAAAAGCAGACACAGCAUGGGAAUGAGAAUGUGCAUCGUAGGUACCUGACGGACUACAGUAGGAAACACAGGAGAUUUCAACCUUGAACAGAAAGCAAGAGUUCUGUAUUGCAGCAGUUCACCAUCUUUGACGAAGGAAAUGCAAGUGGAACACGCUCCGUGUGACGCGAAAAAAUGGAAUCGCACUCAGCAAGUCCUGUAAAAACUAAAGACUACUCCUGCAGUGUCACUGGGUGGAGGAAGUAUUGUAAUAAAGAUCUAUAAAAUGUAUUCACUGUUAGCCAUCCUCAAAUCUUGCUGGAACCUAUGCAGUCUCCCCGCCGCAGAUGCCUUUACCAAGGCAGAAGUUUUGUAAGCUAUCUACUCUUUGUUAACAGAUGAAGUUUGCCAUGUUACAAAACUUUUAACAGGUGAGGAUACAGCUCAGACAAGGACCUUGCUUAACCAAAUUAUCAGCAGUUGAUAGUACAAACACAAAGGAACAUACUCAUUUGUGCUACCCUGAUCAAAACUUCCAGGCUUAAAAAAAAAAAAAAAAAAAACAACAACCCGCAAAACUUAAAGGAUUCUCAAUUUCUCUCCAAAUGUCUCUACAAAGGAAGUUACAGACCUUUUGCUUAUAACAUUUCCAUUAUCCAACAGUGACCUUCCCAGGAAGGUGACCAAGGACCAAUGGGGAUCUCAUGGGUCAUGGAGUACAGUCCCCACAAGAAGCAUGACAUGGUACCAUUCCAUUUGUAGACCCCCAAAAACCUUUUCAUAAGAGGAAAGCUUUCUUUAGACUAGGAACUGAACAACAGAUUCACAGAAUAUCUAAACCACAAAACUUCCAGCUCUAACUACAAAAAUGUUCCAACUAUUUAGAGGCCUUCUUCAAGGGACGUUACUCACUUUCUUUGCAAUGCUGUUCUUCAAUUUCUGUUUUAUAAAGUCUCAAAUUGUGCUUCAUUAGAAAAAAAAGGACUGCUAGGUAGGUGCAGGUGCAGCCUCACAGGGAAAAAGCAACUGUGCAAAAGAGAAUCUUUUAUUUUCAGUAUUCAGGUCUUUAUAGUUCUGCAGAAGAUGCUGAAGUAAACAAUGACAUUUAGAUUAAAAGAAGUCAAUACAUCCUGUAUUUUAACCUACGUUUGUGUAAUCUGCUCAAACUGCAGCUUGUGCCAAAAAAAUGGCAGCUUUGUUUCCCUAAGACCCGAUUUAGCAUUUAAUGACACUAAACAAUGCAAAAUGUGAUCAUUACUAUCACUAGAUCCAACCCAGGGAAUGAAAGGGAAGCAGAUCAGCUCUAUCAGUAGAAGUUUUCAUACUGGAUUAAGCUUAUAAUGAAACUACACUCCUAAGAGAGCAUUAGCAAGAUUCAGAAAAAGGUAUUGUUCCAAACACAUUGGCUGAAAGACAUCGGGUGGUUCUCCUGUAGGUAAGACAGGAAAGCGUGCAAAUGAAUAAAGACCCUGCUACAAGUGAAGGCACCUUUGUCCUCACGUAUUCUCAACACUGACUUGUCUGUUGGUCAAACAGAAGACUUAAUACACUCCACACAGAAAAGUGUCCUAUAUUUUCCCGGAAUAACAGUUAACAUUUCUUUUUUUUUGUCACAGUAAGAGAACAUAAUUCCUGAUAUGUAAUUAGGCAGGUCACUUAUCCCUCAAAACGCCAGCAAAGACAUUUGAAAGAACAUACAACAAGUUCUCAUUAACUUGUUUUACCACAACUAUGGAGAAACUGAAAAAAGAUCAAAUUGAAUAACUUGACUACGUUAAAGGUAUGAAACGGUUUGUAUUUUAUACAGAGAGUAUGUACACUGGUUUUGGAAAUGUGGGUUUUAUCCAUGCAAAUUCAAUACAAAAAACUAUUUACAAAAAAUAAUAGUAGGAACAUUUUUUCAAAAGAAACAUAUACAUGUUGGAAGCUCCAGCAAUAAUGGAAGUCCUGAAAAAAGACUUAAGAUAACAGUAUUGUACAGGUAGACAAUCCUCAGAAGUAUGGAAAAUACACUUUACAAGAACAUGAAAUGCAAAAUGAACUAAAAUGCACUAUCAAAUAGAUGUCAUAAGUAUAUAUACAAUUUAAUAAUCUUAUUAAAUGAUCACUCUCCAGCUGUGCCUCAGAACCAUUUCUGUCAUGUCUUGCACACAUAUACACAUUGAUCAUUUGGAUACAUUGCGUUUUCUGAGUUUUAUAAUCACGAGUUACAAAAUAAAAUAACUGAAUACCAACUGAGUGAGAAUUGUAAAGCAAUUACGUUUUCCUUGUUCUACACAUUAUACAACAGUAAAAAGUAUUCACAUUAUUCCCUUCAUAAUACACCUCAUAACCUUUUUGCAGUGCCUACACAUGCCCUUCAUGGACACUGCAAACAGCUGCAUUAACUAUUGGUGGAACUGACAUUAACAGUUGCAACCCAGGAAUUCCCACAGUUGCAGUAACGUUUCCCGUAACACACAGAUUCAGUAAACAGAACUCUGUUAACAGAACUCUGUUAACAUUUGCAUAUGCAAAGCCCAAUCUUGCACAUGCUCCAGAAAGAUUAACAACACUGAACAAUGGAAGUUUCCAUGCCAGCAACAGCGCAACCAAAUCCUAAACAAAUUCUGGAACGAUUUCCCUAGUUCACUCCAAUUUAAAAACAAAGCAAAACUAAAAAGUGUUUUCAGACUUAUUUCCAAAGAGUAGC